CAGUCGCCACGGUAAUACGUAGGGUGCGAGCGUUAAUCGGAAUUACUGGGCGUAAAGCGUGCGCAGGCGGUUGUGUAAGACAGGUGUGAAAUCCCCGGGCUUAACCUGGGAACUGCGCUUGUGACUGCACAGCUAGAGUAUGGCAGAGGGGGGUGGAAUUCCACGUGUAGCAGUGAAAUGCGUAGAGAUGUGGAGGAACACCGAUGGCGAAGGCAGCCCCCUGGGCCAAUACUGACGCUCAUGCACGAAAGCGUGGGGAGCAAACAGGAUUAGAUACCCGAGUAGUCCCUGUCUCUUAACA
rnacentral:rRNA from 1 species